GGGGGAUAGGGGGAACUUAAUAUGGGUUUUACCCCACAGCUCUGCCAGAGCUGUUGGGUAACCACCGCUGUGAAUUGGGUUCCCUGAUCCGACACUAUCUCCCUAGGGAAUCCCACCCUAGUAAAUACCCGAACCAGUGCUUCCGCUACCGUCUCUGCAUGUAUAUUUGACAGAGUUAUAGCUUCGGGGUAGCGGGUAGCGUAGUCCACCACAGUAAGAAUGUAUUUCUUACCGGAUGGACUGGGUUUGCUGAGUGGCCCGACUAAAUGCCACUCGGAAAAAUGGUUCCUCAAUGAUGGGUAGGGGAUGUAGUUUUGCCCUGG